AGAAAAAGUAGGUACCAUACCAUGGCUUAAAAUCCUAUAGCAGAAGUCAUCUUACAAGAUAUAGAUGAGAUGAUCUCAAGAAUAAAAUUCUGAUGGUACAAAGAGAAACAAAUCUAUUAAGAAGGAAAGGGUAGAGUUAUCAGAUGAAACAAAUGCUGAUAGAUAAGGAAUUCUAUCAUUUGCCUCAAUUUUAGAAUUGAAUAUGGAAGCAAGGACAGAUAAUGGAGAAUAGAUGGCUAAUGGAAGAUGAAUAUAAAAGUAAGUCAGUCCUUUAAGAAUAGUUUUAAAAAUACUAAAGCUCAGAAUGAACUGAUAAAGCUAAAGAAUACUAAGAAUCAAAAGCAAAAGAUUUUUUGGUAUUUUCUUUUAGAUACUUAGGAUGAAGACCACAGCAGAAGGAAGAGUAGGUCAACACUCUGUUUCUAUAUUCCAUGAUGAAGGAGUGAUUUCUGGACUAAAUAGAAGAGUCAUCCUUUCUGCCUUGGGAGAUCGAUUAAAAAGAAAAAGGAAGAGGGAAUCAACAAAAAAUAUGGGAAGAGACUCAAUUGGGAUAUGUUCACAGAAGACACAAUGUGUAUCAAAAGAAAUAUACCUGAUUGGAAUGCAUGACUGGAACUAAGGUAAAACAAUUAUUUUGCAUUCUAAGAAUUCCCUAUCCUGCUUUUGAUGAUGUAAUAAACUAUGG
rnacentral:lncRNA from 1 species